rnacentral:rRNA from 1 species
AGUGAACGCUGGCGAUAGGCCUAACACAUGCAAGUCGAACGGCAGCACAGUAAGAGCUUGCUCUUACGGGUGGCGAGUGGCGGACGGGUGAGGAAUACAUCGGAAUCUACUUUUUCGUGGGGGAUAACGUAGGGAAACUUACGCUAAUACCACAUACGACCUACGGGUGAAAGCAGGGGAUCUUCGGACCUUGCGCGAUUGAAUGAGCCGAUGUCGGAUUAGCUAGUUGGCGGGGUAAAGGCCCACCAAGGCGACGAUCCGUAGCUGGUCUGAGAGGAUGAUCAGCCACACUGGAACUGAGACACGGUCCAGACUCCUACGGGAGGCAGCAGUGGGGAAUAUUGGACAAUGGGCGCAAGCCUGAUCCAGCCAUACCGCGUGGGUGAAGAAGGCCUUCGGGUUGUAAAGCCCUUUUGUUGGGAAAGAAAAGCAGCAGGUUAAUACCCCGCUGUUCUGACGGUACCCAAAGAAUAAGCACCGGCUAACUUCGUG